rnacentral:rRNA from 1 species
GUAGGUGGCGAGCGUUGUCCGGAUUUACUGGGCGUAAAGGGCUUGUAGGCGGUCCGCUAAGUCUGGUGUGAAAUCUCCCGGCUCAACUGGGAGGGGUCAUCGGAUACUGGCGGACUUGAGGGGGGUAGAGGAAAGCAGAAUUCCUGGUGUAGCGGUGAAAUGCGUAGAUAUCAGGAGGAAUACCAGUGGCGAAGGCGGCUUUCUGGGCCUACCCUGACGCUGAGGAGCGAAAGCGUGGGGAGCAAACCGGAUUAGAUACCCGGGUAGUCCACGCCCUAAACGGUGGAUGCUAGGUGUGGGGGGUGUCGACCCCCUCCGUGCCGCAGCUAACGCUUUAAGCAUCCCGCCUGGGGAGUACGGCCGCAAGNCUA